rnacentral:rRNA from 1 species
CUCUUCGGAGUACACGAGUGGCGAACGGGUGAGUAACACGUGAGCAACCUACCCUUGACUCUGGGAUAACAGUUGGAAACAGCUGCUAAUACCGGAUACUACCUCGAUCGACAUCGAUUGAGGUGGAAAGCUCCGGCGGUCAUGGAUGGGCUCGCGGCCUAUCAGCUUGUUGGUGAGGUAACGGCUCACCAAGGCUUCGACGGGUAGCCGGCCUGAGAGGGCGACCGGCCACACUGGGACUGAGAUACGGCCCAGACUCCUACGGGAGGCAGCAGUGGGGAAUAUUGCGCAAUGGGCGAAAGCCUGACGCAGCAACGCCGCGUGCGGGAUGACGGCCUUCGGGUUGUAAACCGCUUUCAGCAGGGACGAAGCAACACGUGACGGUACCUGCAGAAGAAGCACCGGCCAACUACGUGCCAGCAGCCGCGGUGAUACGUAGGGUGCGAGCGUUGUCCGGAAUUAUUGGGCGUAAAGAGCUUGUAGGCGGUCUGUCACGUCGAAAGUGAAAACUCAGGGCUCAACCCUGAGCCUGCUCUCGAUACGGGCAGACUAGAGGAAUGUAGGGGAGAACGGAAUUCUUGGUGGAGCGGUGGAAUGCGCAGAUAUCAGGAGGAACACCGGUGGCGAAGGCGGUUCUCUGGACAUUUCCUGACGCUGAGAAGCGAAAGCGUGGGUAGCAAACAGGCUUAGAUACCCUGGUAGUCCACGCCGUANACGGUGGGUACUAGGUGUGGGGGACAUUCCACNUUCUCCGUGCCGUAGCUAACGCAUUAAGUA